GAUGAACGCUGGCGGCGUGCCUAAUACAUGCAAGUCGAGCGAACAGAUGAGGAGCUUGCUCCUCUGACGUUAGCGGCGGACGGGUGAGUAACACGUGGAUAACCUACCUAUAAGACUGGGAUAACUUCGGGAAACCGGAGCUAAUACCGGAUAAUAUAUUGAACCGCAUGGUUCAAUAGUGAAAGACGGUUUUGCUGUCACUUAUAGAUGGAUCCGCGCCGCAUUAGCUAGUUGGUGAGGUAACGGCUUACCAAGGCAACGAUUCGUAGCCGACCUGAGAGAGGGAUAGGCCACACUGGAACUGUAACACGGUCUAGAGUCCUACGGGAGGCAGCAGAAGGGAAUCUGCCGCAAUGGGCGAAAGCAUGACGGAGCGACGCCGCGUGAGUGAUGAUGGUCUUCGGAGCGUAAAACUCUGUUAUUAGGGGAGAACAAAGGUGUAAGUAAAUGUGCACGUCUUUACGUUACCUAAUCAGAAAGCCACGGCUAACUACGUG
rnacentral:rRNA from 1 species